rnacentral:misc_RNA from 1 species
CCGAGUUUACAACUCCCAAACCCCUGUGAACAUACCUAUAUGUUGCCUCGGCGGAUCAGCCCGCGCCCCGUAAAACGGGACGGCCCGCCGCAGGAUCCACAAACUCUGUUUUUAUUGUAACUUCUGAGUAACAAAACAAAUAAACCA